rnacentral:rRNA from 1 species
UACGAAGGGGGCUAGCGUUGCUCGGAAUCACUGGGCGUAAAGCGCACGUAGGCGGAUCUUUAAGUCAGGGGUGAAAUCCCAAGGCUCAACCUUGGAACUGCCUCUGAUACUGGGGAUCUCGAGUCCGGAAGAGGUUGGUGGAACUGCGAGUGUAGAGGUGAAAUUCGUAGAUAUUCGCAAGAACACCAGUGGCGAAGGCGGCCAACUGGUCCGGUACUGACGCUGAGGUGCGAAAGCGUGGGGAGCAAACAGG